GGCGACGUGGCCAAGCGGUAAGGCAGAGGCCUGCAAAGCCUUCACCACCGGUUCGAAUCCGGUCGUCGCCUCCA
rnacentral:tRNA from 1 species